UUUUCAUAAAAGAUGGUAAAAUUUAAGGGGAUUGUAUUUGCAGAUUUACGGUCGCAGAAAUACCCCAAGGAGCAGGAAGCUUAAAUUACUAAAUAAUCAAGAAAAAUCAUCUCGAGUUGUGGAUGGAAGCAAAGUUUGGUUUUUAUUUUAAAAAACAGUUAUUCUCAUUUCAAAGUGCAAUACAAAUUUGAAAGUUUUAUAAAUUCGUAAACGUUGUUUUUGUAAAUGGAGGGGAGAGAGGGAAAAGUUGGAAUGGAAUUAAGGAGGUCAAAGAAACGGGCCGGAGAAGUUGAUUAAGAUGACGAUUCGGUAACCGAAUUUCGGUUCAAGGUUACCUCGGAACCCACGCGGUACCAUGUCAUCCAUGCCGACAACAACUUUGCAGAAGAUCAUGUGGUAUGAAUUCGUUCGAUUCACGCAGCCCGUGUCCUACCCAGCGGCCACGUACUACGCCCAUCUGGCUGCAUGCUUAUCGGGUCCCCCAUCGCAUCGAGAAGGAAGGGAAAAAUGCGGACUUGAGCGACCUCGUCGGGAAGUUGACCAUCCAUCCCGACCUGGCCAAAAGAUAUCCCAUGUUCUUCAUCUAAACCAAUCUCCUCGCCCCAUCAAUUUCAUAAUAAUAAUAAUGAUAAUAAUAUGAUUACAUCAUAUCUAAACCUAUAUAUUAAGAUAACUUUAGCAUACAUAUUUGUUAGAAAGCCUUGUUAAGUUUGAAUAAUAAAAUAUGUGGAAUUGGUUUCUACUCAA